GAUGAACGCUAGCUACAGGCUUAACACAUGCAAGUCGAGGGGAAACGACAUCGAAAGCUUGCUUUUGAUGGGCGUCGACCGGCGCACGGGUGAGUAACGCGUAUCCAACCUGCCCACCACUUGGGGAUAACCUUGCGAAAGUAAGACUAAUACCCAAUGAUAUCCCACGAAGACAUCUGAAUGGGAUUAAAGAUUUAUCGGUGAUGGAUGGGGAUGCGUCUGAUUAGCUUGUUGGCGGGGUAACGGCCCACCAAGGCAACGAUCAGUAGGGGUUCUGAGAGGAAGGUCCCCCACAUUGGAACUGAGACACGGUCCAAACUCCUACGGGAGGCAGCAGUGAGGAAUAUUGGUCAAUGGGCGAGAGCCUGAACCAGCCAAGUAGCGUGCAGGAAGACGGCCCUAUGGGUUGUAAACUGCUUUUAUAAGGGAAUAAAGUGGGUUACGGGUGACUUUUUGCAUGUACCUUAUGAAUAAGGACCGGCUAAUUCCGUG
rnacentral:rRNA from 1 species